rnacentral:rRNA from 1 species
UACGGAGGGUGCAAGCGUUAUCCGGAUUCACUGGGCGUAAAGCGCACGCAGGCGGAUUGAUAAGUCAAGGGUGAAAUCCCGGAGCUCAACUUCGGAAUUGCCUUUGAUACUGUCUGUCUUGAGUCCGGGAGAGGUGAGUGGAAUUCCUAGUGUAGAGGUGAAAUUCGUAGAUAUUAGGAAGAACACCAGUGGCGAAGGCGGCUCACUGGCCCGGUACUGACGCUCAUGUGCGAAAGCGUGGGGAGCAAACAGG